ACUGUGAGAUACUCUGUGGAU
rnacentral:piRNA from 1 species